rnacentral:rRNA from 1 species
GUCGAACGCUGGCGGCAUGCUUUACACAUGCAAGUCGAACGGCAACGCGCCAUUUUGCUUGGGUACUCGAGUCGCGAACGUGUGUGUUACAUGUGGAUGAUCUGCCCUGUACUGUAGAAUAAGCCGGGAAAACUAUUUCUAAUACCUGCUAGGUCCGUGCUUUAGUGGGUGCGGGGGAAAGUUUUUCGGUUCUGGAUGGGCGCGCGGCCUAUCAGCUGGUUGGGGGGGUAAUGGCCUACCAGGCCGGCGUCGGUUGGUCGUCCUGAGGGGGUGUACGGCCACAUUGGGACUGAGAGACGGCGCAGAGGCGUACGGGAGGCAGCAGUGGCGAAUAUUGUACAAUGGGGGCAAGCGCGAUGAAGAGACGCCGCGUGGGGGAUGACGGCCUUCGCGUUGUAAACCCCUUUCGGCAGGGACGACGCGUGUAUGACGGUACCGGAAUAAGAAGCACCGGCUAACUACGUG